rnacentral:lncRNA from 1 species
AUUUUUCUCAAUUUUCUUCUCUGAAUUGUUUUUUUUUUUUUUUUUUUUUUUUAAAAACACUUGCUAACCUAGGCUCCAUUGCCUUAAACUUUUUUUUUUUUUUAAAGAUUUAUUUAUUAUAUGUAAGUACACUGUAGCUGUCUUCAGACACACCAGAAGGGGGAGUCAGAUCUUGUUACGGAUGGUUGUGAGCCACCAUGUGGUUGCUGGGAUUUGAACUCUGGACCUUCGGAAGAGCAGUCGGGUGCUCUUACCCACUGAGCCAUCUCACCAGCCCCUUCUCUGAAUUGUUAAUGUUUACCCAUUUUACUAUUUUUUUUCAUAUUAGCCCCUUGCCUAACAUGUCUAAUGUGUCUGUUUUGUCAUAGUAUACUGUUUAAAGCUUUUUCUGUAGUUUUGGCUUGGGCUUUUUUGGGCUUUUUUGGUUUUGUUAACACUAGAGAUUGAAGCUAGGCACAGAUCACUUGCUAGGCAAACAGUCUGCCCAGCUGAAUCCUCAGCUUUCCUUUUACCUGUUUGUUUGUUUGUUUGUUUGUUUAUCCUCUGGCAAAUUCCUGCAUGAAUAUAAUACAUUCCAGUCACACUCGUUCCUUUCUCUCUUCUCCCUGCUGUCCCCAUCAAGUAUCCACACCACUAUCAUGUCUUUUUGUUUUACUUUCCAUUUUUUGUGACUUAUUCACUGAGUUUAACCAGGGCUGCCCAGUGGGCAUGCUUGAGUUACUCACACCAGAGGAGGGCUGCACAUCAGUGGCUACACCACUGAAGACAGCGACUUCGUUCCCAAAAGCUCAUCGUAUCUCUUUCAAUCAUUUUUACAAUUUAUACUUUGAGACAGAGUCACACUGAGUAACCCAGACCGACCUUGAACUCGCUCUGUAACCUCAGCAAGCCUUGAACUAGUGGUCUUUGUUCUUCAGCCUCCCAGGAAGCUAGAAUUUUUUUUUUUUUUGAUUGAACAGAAUUCUUUUUUAACUUUUUUUUUUAAUAUAUAUCAUCUAUAGCUUCCAUUUGGCUUUUGCAUUUUUGUCUUAUUUAAGAAAAUCUUGGGGCUGGAGAGAUGGCUUAGUGGUUAAAGGUACUAACUGCUCUUCCAAAAGACCCAGGUUCAAAUCCCAGCACCUACAUGGCAGCUCACAACUGUCUGUAACACCAAGAUCUAACACUCUCACAUAGACAUACAUGCAGACAAAACACUAGUACACAUAAAAUAAAGGGAAAUAUAUUUUUUAAAAAAUACUUCAAGGAAGAUCUCCCUAAUAUAUUCUGGUUCAGCUUGUAUAAAUACUUUACCUAUUUUGAGUCUUAAUCCAAUUUUGGGGGCUUUACAGAAGCAGAGGGUAUUGUGGCUGUUGUUGUUGUUGUUGUUGUUGUUUAAGGAGCUGGUGAUCUCUCUUAUCCUGAGAUUAAUCAAAUAGCCUGCUUCUUAUUUUCAGUACUUAACCCUUUAAUCCUCUGAAAUGUAUUUAUACUUAUAGUGUGUGGUAGGAAUAAGCUGUUAGGAAAGUCAGUUACCCCAGGAACAUUUACUAGCUACUUAAACCACCCUACUUCCAUUGUUUUGGAAUAUUGUCUUUGUCAUGUAACAAUUUCCAUAAGACAUGAGUUUCUUUUAGGAUAUUGUUUCAUUUAUUUCUUGCUCAUGCCUGUGCAUGCUUAAGGGUAAUCACCUAGUUUCACAGUGUGGUUUAAUACAGUGUCAAAGUGAUUGCCAUGACAUGAGUAUGGAUCUCUAAAGUCAUAAAGUCCCAAGUAAAUAUUUGUGUCCCUUCUACUCAAAGGAAGCUUUUCCCCUAUGUCCAUUAUAGCUAUCCAAUAAGCAUGAAUAAUAUUGCAAAACUUAGAUUUUGUUUGUUUGUUUGUUUGAUUUUGUUUUUCGAGACAGGGUUUCUCUGUGUAGCCCUGGCUAUCCUGGAACUCACUCUGUAGACCAGGCUGGCCUCGAACUCAGAAAUCCACCUGCCUCUGCCUCCCAGAGUGCUGGGCUUAAAGGUGUGCGCCACCACGCCCGGCUGCAAAACUUAGAUUUAACUAAGAGAAUUCAUAUAAAGCUUUGAAUUUGUUAUAUUCCUUCAAAACAGGAUGUUGUUCUCUUAGCAUCUCCACCCCCAUCUCUUCUUACCUGUUUUCAGCUCAUACACAUUAAGAGUCUUCUAUUUCUUUGUUAAAAGAAUGACAUUUCCGCCGGGCAUUGGUGGUGCACACCUGAUAUAUUGUAAAUCCAUGUUCCCCAUUUAUUUCUUUUAACAAAGGUCUUUUGGGUGGCGAUUAUGUUCAGGGUAUUCUGCACUGGAAGUCUACAAAAUUAAUGAACAGUCGUGCCCCCCACCCCUUAAUUCUGCUUAGAAUGAAUGUCUUUAGCAUGAUGUUACUAGCUAGGUCUGGUGGUUCAGGCCUGUAAUCCCAGCUAAAUCCAAGGCCUUCUGGGGCAACUUGGUCUCAGAGUAAGCAUGUAAAAUAAAAUACAAAGAGGCUAGUAAAGAGCAGUCACCUAGGUUCCAUCUUUAUUACUAAAGUACUUUAAAUGGUGUCUUGUUUUGCUGUUAAAUUUUAUUACAGUAUUUUAAUGUUUUUAGUGUAGUUUGCUAAUUUAGCUAAUAUCUACAGUUACUUGCUUUUAUAAAUCUUAGAGAAUUGUUUUAAAAUAUUUUUACUUAGCUUAUCAUGUUCAUAAUUUCCAAAGAUAGGUACUGUUGAUUACUUUCAAUGAUAUACAUUUAUCAUAGUACUUUUUGUCUGAGACUGGGUCUUUGUUUUCCAGGCUAGUGUCAAAUUCCUAAACAUAAGACAUCCUUCCCACUUAAGCAUCCCAAAUGCCUGAGACUACAGCCUAGUUCACCAUAGAACUCUCAUAGUGACAGGCUUCUCAUAUAGCUCUGACUAGAUUAUUUUACCUCCUUGGGUAAUUUUUCAUUGGUAUAAAUGUGAACCUUAAUAAGUUAAUAUGGGGGCAGUGAGAUGGCUCAGUGCUGCCAACCCAGAGCUAGCCCCAGGACCCACUUGGUAGAAAGAAAUGAGCCUGCAUAAAUUUUCCACUGACUUCCAUGUAUGUGUACAUGUGCACACACAAACACACAUAUAAACUUAAGUAAG